GAUGAACGCUAGCUACAGGCUUAACACAUGCAAGUCGAGGGACCGGCGCACGGGUGAGUAACACGUAUCCAACCUGACAUUUACUCGGGGAUAGACUUUCGAACGAAAGAUUAAUACCCGAUAUAAAGGAUGGGGAUGCGUUCCAUUAGGUUGUUGGUGAGGUAACGGCUCACCAAGCCUUCGAUGGAUAGGGGUUCGGAGAGGAAGGUCCCCCACAUUGGAACUGAGACACGGUCCAAACGCCUACGGGAGGCAGCAUUGAUGAAUAUUGGUCAAGGGGCGCUAGCCUGAACCAGCCAAGUAGCGUGAAGGAUGAAUGCUUAUGGGUCGUAAACUUCUUUUAUAGAAGAAUAUGUAUUAUAUGAAUAAGGAUCGGCUAACUCCGUGCCAGCAGCCGCGGUAAUUC
rnacentral:rRNA from 1 species